rnacentral:misc_RNA from 1 species
AAAAAAAAACUGACGCCUUGUUGAAUAAUUGAAAUCCCUCAAGAUCUCCAUUUUUGAUACUCGCUUCCAACUGUACAUGAAUGAUACCAAGAACAAUGCUAGCAACAGGAAGCCAACUCUCCUCAGGGGACAGUGACAUGUUUGACCUGAGGUAUGGAGCCAUGUAUACAAAAGCAUAGACAGCAUAGCGCCGUUUCCCCGUGUCAAGCCAUGCAAACACCCAACUCAGCCAAUUAAAGUAAGGAAUGAAACUAAUGAUCCCCAUCACCAUCAAUCUGGCAUCAGUCGAAUCAAUGGCGGAAUCACCAUCCUCGUCCAUGCGAGCAGUGUUAGGCAAAAACAGCGAAGAUAGCAUAGACACACCAAUAGCCGCAGCAAACGGCGCGUCGCGGGAGAACUCCGCCCUGCAUAUUCCGUUGUUCUUAAAAACCUUCCUCUUAAUUAGCCUGUUACUGUGGUGAUUAAGUCUGGAGAGUGACAAGGUAUGAGGCUUGAGAGAGAGCAAAGUAGAAGAAGAGGAGGGUGAAGUGAAGAAGAGAGUUAUCAUAGCUAGAGACAGAAGUGGGGGGCUUCCUCUAUCAUGCGCCCCGCGCGAAGGAGAGAGCGAUGGAAGAGGAGAGAAACAAAGAGGAGGCAAUUGAAUUUCG